GAUGAACGCUGGCGGCGUGCCUAAUACAUGCAAGUCGAGCGAACAGACGAGGAGCUUGCUCCUCUGACGUUAGCGGCGGACGGGUGAGUAACACGUGGAUAACCUACCUAUAAGACUGGGAUAACUUCGGGAAACCGGAGCUAAUACCGGAUAAUAUAUUGAACCGCAUGGUUCAAUAGUGAAAGACGGUUUUGCUGUCACUUAUAGAUGGAUCCGCGCCGCAUUAGCUAGUUGGUAAGGUAACGGCUUACCAAGGCAACGAUGCGUAGCCGACCUGAGAGGGUGAUCGGCCACACUGGAACUGAGACACGGUCCAGACUCCUACGGGAGGCAGCAGUAGGGAAUCUUCCGCAAUGGGCGAAAGCCUGACGGAGCAACGCCGCGUGAGUGCUGAAGGUCUUCGGAUCGUAAAACUCUGUUAUUAGGGAAGAACAAAUGUGUAAGUAACUAUGCACGUCUUGACGGUACCUAAUCAGAAAGCCACGGCUAACUACGUG
rnacentral:rRNA from 1 species